rnacentral:rRNA from 1 species
UGGGAACGUACCCUUCGGUUCGGAAUAACUCAGGGAAACUUGAGCUAAUACCGGAUACGUCCGAGAGGAGAAAGAUUUAUCGCCAUUGGAUGGGCCCGCGUCGGAUUAGCUAGUUGGUGAGGUAACGGCUCACCAAGGCAACGAUCCGUAGCUGGUCUGAGAGGAUGAUCAGCCACACUGGGACUGAGACACGGCCCAGACUCCUACGGGAGGCAG